UAGGGAAUCUUCCGCAAUGGGCGAAAGCCUGACGGAGCAACGCCGCGUGAGUGAUGAAGGUCUUCGGAUCGUAAAACUCUGUUAUUAGGGAAGAACAUAUGUGUAAGUAACUGUGCACAUCUUGACGGUACCUUAUCAGAAAGCCACGGCUAACUACGUGCCAGCAGCCGCGGUAAUACGUAGGUGGCAAGCGUUAUCCGGAAUUAUUGGGCGUAAAGCGCGCGUAGGCGGUUUUUUAAGUCUGAUGUGAAAGCCCACGGCUCAACCGUGGAGGGUCAUUGGAAACUGGAAAACUUGAGUGCAGAAGAGGAAAGUGGAAUUCCAUGUGUAGCGGUGAAAUGCGCAGAGAUAUGGAGGAACACCAGUGGCGAAGGCGACUUUCUGGUCUGUAACUGACGCUGAUGUGCGAAAGCGUGGGGAUCAAACAGGAUUAGAUACCCUGGUAGUCCACGCCGUAAACGAUGAGUGCUAAGUGUUAGGGGGUUUCCGCCCCUCAGUGCUGCAGCUAACGCAUUAAGCACUCCGCCUGGGGAGUACGACCGCAAGGUUG
rnacentral:rRNA from 1 species